ensembl:lncRNA
CCCGAUCGGUCUUUCGUAUGCUGAUGAGGGAGCGGUUUGGGGUUUACUGGCCUGGUUGGAAAUGAUUUAGGGCGACACCGGGGCUCUGAGGCUUUAUGCCGCCGGGGGCUCGUAUAUCACCCUGAUCAUUAAUCAAUUAGCGUCUCCGAGCCACCUGUCGGACACGUCGCCGCACAAAACAUUCCUGCCCUCGGGCUGUUGCUAGACGAUGAUCAUCAGCAGCACCACUAUUACCUUCCAGCCCCCCCCCCCCUUAUGGUAAUACCCUGAUGGAUUACAUAAUCACUGUGGGCAGUAAAUGCAGCCGUCUCCACCGCGGCACUGACGGCCGUUUGGUAUUGAUCACAUGAGCUUCUCCGUCCGGCCGUCUUUUAUCACAAAUUGUCCGUGUGGGAUAGAAGUUUCUGGAAGUUCCGUUCCACUUUUGGUGGUCCGGGUUGCUGGAGAGCUCCAUCAGGCUUUGUUGAUCUCGCGUAACCACUCGAGACGCCGCGCGGCGAUUAAAUAAAUAAGGCCGAGCUCCGUUAAAAAAAAAAAAAAAAAAGAAAAAAAACCUGCUUGAAAUACCGUUUCUUUAAAUGAAGAUUUGCAUGUAAGUUUGAACUCUCGCUGCCACUAGAAAAUCUGUUCCUCGCAGCUCUGCUUCCCCCACAAAAAGCAUUUUUCACCCUUUUUGUGUUAUUUGGAACGAAUUCUUAAAAGCAGCUGGAGAGAAAAGUGGCACCAAAGUUGGAGCCUAAUCCGCCAACCCUCAACACGGGGACACGGAGCGGGUAGAUUUGUCACGCCUCGAUGUGGCAGUGUUCUUUCAUUACAGAAGCGGCGCUCUUCACGCAGCUUAGCCAAACCAAACGGCUCAAUCGGCCUCGUGAGGAAGGUCUACGAGGAAGAGGACGCAGCGAGGCUCCUAUCUGCGAAGCCAGAAAAGCCCAGUUGGUCCUACCUGUGCUCCGCUCUUAAGGGAAAAAUGGACACUUUCAAUCACAAAGGGAUUGGAGGGUAAAAGCCGCACGCCGUGUGUGCAAAGUGUGUAACAAAGUUCCCUUUUUUCUCCAAUUCUCUUUCGUCUUUUAAAGCCAACCGGUCCAGGAAAGAAGCCAGAUGCCGACAUCAUCAGGUGGAUUUUCAAAAGAACAAAAGAUCCUCUGCGAUUCUUUUCACUGCCAUUUCAUGCAGCGUAGACCCUCACUACGUGUGUGUGUGUGUGUGUGUGUGUGUGUGUGUGCGCGUUAACACCGCCCUGUCAUUGGUAUUUCAACCAAAUUAAUUCCCUCACACUUUCUUCUACUUACUCAAAGUGACGUCCCAGAAACCAACUGAAGCUGACAACAUAUCAGAUGUGGCUCAUCGUAUCUGAUCACAUUGACAUGAACGUAUCGAAACGGCCGAAUGUGACGAACAGAUAUUUCUGGAGAGAUAAAAAGGUUAAAGAAUGUCAAAGUGCAUAAAAACACAACAACAUAACUGCAGCCUGAGCGCGAUGAAGGCGAUGCACAUGGCACACAGGCAGGGGGGGGUGACGGGGCAAAGGCCUGACCUGUGGGGGUCAAAAGGGUGUGAGGAGCAUUUAUCACAGCUAGCUUCCCUGGGAGCCGGCCGGGGCCCACCGCUACCACCCAGAUGCCUUCAUGACAAAGACAAACACUGGAAUCCCUAAGUGGAAAAACAUGGCGUGCUGGCACACGGCGGGCCGCGGCGAGACGUUACAUCGUGCGGACGGUUUAAUGAGCGCGGCCUGGACCCGAUCAAAAGUCGGAGUGUCCGCCGCAGCCGAACAGAAGAGGCUGUAUUUCACGCUUCGCGGGAGCCGGUCCACUCAUCCGCGGAAAACAGCGGCUGGAGGACGGAGGUCCCGUGGAAGGUUCCCCCCGUGGGGGGGGGGGGGGGACAAAGACGCAAUUGAGAGCACGGGACCAGAUCCGGCGACCCGGGACUCGUAAAAAAAAAACAGCCCCUCAGGGGAACUGCCCCCCGCCGCCAGCGGUCGAAGACGCCCGGCAGCUCCGGCAUUGUUUUUUCCGGCGCCCUGGACAAGCGGAGCGGGGUGGGAGUGGGCUCCGCGGGCCAGGCGCCAGCCGGGGGACAAAAACGCGCUGUUGUGCCGGGGAGGAACAAUCGCGACGCCGCUCACGCAACGCGCUCUCGUCAAAGUGGAGACGGCGGUCCGCUUUUGCAUGAAAGACGCACACAGCCUCCUCGUGACUCGUCGCAUUGCAUUGAAAGCGAGACAAUGACUCGAAGUGAGACCGAACGCUAAUUAGAGGUCGGCAUCCCGUCCCACAUCGCCGACGCACCGAGACGAUCGACUCGCUGUCAGACGCUCUCACGAGGUCCCGAGAAUCCCAAGCCCUCAAAGCGCUCGUUAAACCAAAUAAACACCCAGCAUGCACCUCCCUUUCUACCACCGCAGACCAGCACGAGCAGCAGAGACCACGCGGCUUCGACGUACAUUCGCACCGACAGCGACUUGAACCCUCCUUCAACAACCCGACGAAGCGGCGCCGAGCUGUUUCCAGUCCGCCCGUAACGAGCGGAUGACAGCAGCCGCGCGCCCGGUGCCGAGAGGAGCGAGCACCACGCAGACGGGCCGUCAUCGCCGGCGCUCUCCUGCUCUUCGUUAGGGAGUGGACAGAAACACAACAGGCACUUCUACAACUUCACACUUCCAGACGCAACGCGAGCAGCCGCCGCCGCAGGUGCAACAACGGGCCGAGCGCCGAGAGGUCUGCAGAGCAUUUUCUCCUCGAUUUCCACAUUCCUACUGGCCGCGUUGGGCCCUCGCGCUGGAAGCGGGGCGAGCGGGUGGGGGGAGGGGGGGGGUCUGCUCCACAUUCAGAGGCACAGCUGGUAUUUCACCGAUUAACUGGGGCCUCUUUAUUGAUCUCAUGCAGCGACGGUUACUUAACAUGGUCCUAUGUAGCUCUGUAGUCAAGUCCAUGUUAAUUGCGAUAAGAAAAUCCCUCUAAGAGAGCGUUUGCUGCUGGUUCUCAUGUACACGCACACACACACUUUGGUUAUGGAACCUUUGGAAUCAUGGCCAUUGAUGCAUUUUUUAUAGAUUGUAUUAGAACUUUGUUUCUCAUAAUCCGUGUGAACGCGUUCACCCUCGACGCCCAACAUUGCAUUCGCAAGGAAGUGAAUCGCAAAACAGCAUUAACCCAUUUACAGCAGUUACGGUUAUUUUAAAUACAAAAAGCAAAGUCAAUUUGUGUUUGAAAAAAGAGCCGGUUGUAUUUCAGUGUCUGCAGGUGAUAAAUGCCUCUAAUGUGCUGAACUCAGCAUCUUGUCCUUACGGUGGAUGAGGAGUCUCGAUGCAUAUCUGCUCGCCGCAUCAGCCGCACACUUGUUUUCUCUGUGGACAGCACACGAAAAAAUACAGGCCGACGACAACAGUGAUUCACCAUGUUUACUUUGAACAAAGCGACUUCGCGUAUCCCAUCAUGCAAAAAAAGAAAAAGAAGAAAAUCCCAAAGUUCGGACAACAACAAGGCCAAAGAGGGGAGUGGAAACGGGACAAAGAAGACUCUUGAUGUGUGACUGCGAGGUCGUCCAGGACGCGCAGAGACGCCUCCUGGAUCACAGUCAACACAUUUCACCCGCGGGUCUUCCACCUUCAUUUAGAUGAAUAUGGACCUCCUCGAGAGGAAAUAAAGCCAUUUUGAACCCCCCCCCCUCGACAACGAGUCGGCCGUCCAUAAUGUGCCCCGUCAAUGGACUGUGGGUUUAUUCAACUGCAGGCCGCCCCCAGCACAGCCAUAAAUAACAUAGGGCAGCUCACAUGAAACCCUAAUCACCAUUGUGCUGUCACCCAACAGACAAGACUGCUUGUUUAAUUUACUGCAGCGCAUCGGUCUCAGUUCUGCCCAAUUUGGUUUCACAAUUCCAAUGGCCAAGUACUCCUGGUGUAUAUUUAUCAGUGUGCUUUUCACCCAAAAGCCAUGAAUUAAUAAGAAGGCAACGUCUGUGUCUCCGGGUCGGCGUGCACGUGCUCGUUUUGGCGCGACGGUAAGUGGGCGUGUCACAAAAUAAAUAAAUAACGAAUGCCAUUGACACUUAAUAACCCCCGGGCUCAUUAUUGGCUGUAUACGACACACUUUAUUAUUAAAUUACCACCCCAUUAGCAUGCAGACAUUUGCAUAUUGCAGUCACUGCUUACAGAGGCAGUAGAUCAUAAGUGGCAGCCAUAUGCUGCCUAGUGUGCCAUCUUACAGAAUUAUUACUGCGACACAAAAAGCCGAAAGGAAAAUGGAAAUCUCCUUGACACCAAAAAGAAAUGAAAAAGAAGAAGAAAAAAAAGAAAAGGCAAAAGGAUCUGCCGUUAUUUAUGUCACAGUCGGUCUGACGGAACGAUCAUUUACACCCUCCAGAGACGCUUCCCCGCAGACGAAGAUCCACGGGCCGCUCAGGUGGGACCACCUGCCGCUUUCCUCCCACGAUACACGCAGAACACCAACGGCAAACAACAAUGCAUGGACCAUGACUUACUGGGGGGGGGGGGGUUCAGCUUGACGUCCCCCCGGCUGCAAAUACCGCUCCGGUUUUCAUGGAUUAUUGUUCUAACCUGAGGUUGAUCGUUUUAUCGAAGUAAUAAUAGUUUUUGGGGACAAAAAAUACCAAAAAUGCAGCUUCUCCAAUGUGAAUAUUUUCUACUUUUCUCACUGUUUAUCAUUACAAAUGGAAUACAUUUGGGUUUUGGACAGGAGGACAAUAAACAACAAAUUGGAAAAAUAAUAUGUUCAGUUCAGUUGAAACCUGAGAAAACUUGUUUUAACUACUCUACCAUUUUCAAAUGAAUAAAUGAGACUAAAAUUAUAGGUUAAAUUACAUGAAAAAUACAGGUUUGGUUCAGCUGGACAACCAACCAAAAAUCCCAGCCGGGUACGGACACAUCUGGCCCAGAGCCACGCUGCUUUCAUCGAGCGCCGUUUAAGGACGUCCAAGCGACAGCGGCCAUCCGGCUCGUGGCAGCAGAGGGUUAACUUGGCAGCUCGGCUGUUCAGUGCAGCUCUUAAAAAGAAUAUUAACGGCACGUCCCUCGGUGCAGACGGCGCAACAGGAAAAGGGAGGAGAAAGGCGGGGAUGGAGGGAGAGAAAGGCGAGCAGCAGAGCGGGGUGGGUGUGUGCCAUUCCAAUUCUUCAGCGACUCUGCGCUCAGGAUUACUGUUUCGGGGAAGGAACAUAUCAUCUGUCAAAGUUAAUGGCAGGGUCCCAGGGAAAAGGAAGGAAAAAUAGAACGGAGACCAAUCAUUAGGAAGGAGGCUGAUGGGGGAGGCGGAGGCGGUUGAAUCCAACGGUCUUCUCCGCCGUCUCCCCGGGAAAAUAAAUAUACACUUAAGGGCCUCACACUUAAAAGAGAUAAUAUUAUUAUUAAAAAGGGCCCGAGCGUGGAGCCGUCGUCUGGGACAAACGAGGUCGGACUGGCGUCCCGGCCGGCCAACAGGCCCGGCCAGCCCGUCUCUCACUCAGAGCUGUGGAUGUACUCCGGAGAAGCAAUUGAUACCAUUGUUUUAUGGAGAGGAGGGCGGAGGGGGAUUAACAAACCAACAAUCGGGUUCUUUCACUGCAAAUGUCAGCCGUCACGCCGGGGAACCGUCCGACUGGGCAGAGAAAAAAGCCAAGUUGCGAAAUGGAGUGUGGAAAAAUAGUAUGAAACCCCUGUGACGAGGGAAAGGAAGCAGUGUGACGUGCUCCAGAACAUUCCCGUGCCAAUUGGUAGAAUGCAACCUCAAACAGGCGAGGGGGGGGGCGCUACAAACACACAUCAUGUGAGAUCAAGUCAAACAGGGACACAAGGCUUUCAAUUUGUUGUUAAAUGCUGUGUGUGUGUGUGUGUCUGUGUGUGUUGUCUUGAGGAUGUGAUCGUUGAAAGAAAGGCAGCACAACUUCAUUCCAAGGAUUCCAAGGUCCACCAAAACACGCGGCGGCUGGAAACACAUCAAUAACCAGGAUAAUAGGUUAUGUGGGUCUUUAGCGCGGCCUCAUUAGGAGAAAAAAAAGAGGAGACAAACCGUGGCCUGAUUCCUCAGGCAAAUUAACACAGUGAGGAAACCUAAAAUAUCACAAACGACGAUCCGUCCUGGGACGUUUCAUCAUGGGACUUACAGCGGAGCGAAACAAAGCUUUGAUAACCCCCCCCUGGCGUUGGACCUCUUUGAAAAAUCGGGUGAAUAUCAAGGGCUGAACAAAGGUACCCCGGGUGAAUAUCAAGGGCUGAACAAAAGGUACCCUGGGUGAUUAUCAAGGGUUGAACAAAAGGUACCCUGGGUGAUUAUCAAGGGUUGAACAAAGGUACCCUGGGUGAAUAUCAAGGGCUGAACAAAAGGUACCCUGGGUGAUUAUCAAGGGCUGAACAAAAGGUACCCUGGGUGAAUAUCAAGGGCUGAACAAAAGGUACCCUGGGUGAAUAUCAAGGGUUGAACAGAGGUACCCUUGGUGAAUAUCAAGGGUUGAACAAAAGUACCCUGGGUGAAUAUUAAGGGUUAUACCAAAGUACCCUGGGUGAAUAUCAAGGGUUGAACAGAGGUGCCCUGGGUGAAUAUUAAGGGUUGAACCAAGGUACCCUGGGUGAAUAUUAAGGGUUGAACCAAGGUACCCUGGGUGAAUAUUAAGGGUUGAACCAAGGUACCCUGGGUGAAUAUCAAUCAGGAAACAUUUAUUCUCAUAAUAUGUCAGACAUACAAGGAAUUUGACUUGGCGGGUUGAACCGAGGUACCCUGCCGCUUUAAGGCCAAGAUGAAGCAGCGCUUCUCCCACACUGACCUAAUUGCUCUCUCGCUCUCCCAACGUGAACACUGGCAGCCGUGCACUCUGACAUGUAAAGAUUGUUUAAUACCAUCAAAGCCAUAAAGAGGAGGAAUAAAAAGCAGCGAGGGGAAAAAACAGAGAAGGGGGGGGGGUGUAACACACGCGUGGGCAGUCCAGAGAGGCUGCGUGGAAGAACAGCUGAAGGAGAAUCAGUAUGCGAAGGCGGGCGCCCGUCUAACUGCCGCCGGCCGGCGCGUGUGGAGCUCCGCACGCCCCAACAUCACAGCCCCCCCCCCCCCACAGAAAGAUCCCACUGGGCUUCAGCUACGCUCCCGGUCUCGGCUCCCACCCUUCUUUUUCCCACACUCGCCCCGGUCCCUAGAAGGCAGCGACUACGUCAUCGGGCACCACUGCCAAACCGCUGUAAUGUCCCAGUUGAGUUCUACCGGUUCUAACAGAGCCUCAUUUAGGCCCAGGCUGGUUUUAUCACGGUUAGGCUACACUGGCCUUCAUUUUUAGAAGUAACCCUAAUAGGGAUUGGGCCAAAGACUUCCAACGAGCGGAGCUAUUCUUAACGGUGGUGGAGUGGUGAACAAAUCAAAACAAAGCGUAAAAAGAUAGCCCACUUUUUCUUGCCCCCCCCCUUAUUUACAGUAAGUGAAACUAAUUAUUUCACAAUAAUUACUUCCUAAACCAGACAGCCGCUCCUUUCCAGUGUCAUUCACACAGGACUUUACAAUCUGAGGAGAAAGGAGAUGUUCUGAGCUUUUCUGUUUUAAAUAUAUUACUCCAAGAAACAGUACUAAAUCAUUCCUGGUCCAGGAGGCGGCGGCGUGAGAAAAAUCCCAGCUGUCAACAAUGAUUUGAAGUUGUCAUUUCUCCAUAACUUCCUCAUUACGUUAGAUCUUACGAGGGUUAGUUUGAGGUGGGGUUGCAAUAGGCACUAAUCCACGGAAUAACAAUCCAAAUUAACCUUUUCAAUAUAAGUUAACCCUGGGCCUACGUUUUUGAGUGGCUACGAUGCGGCUUUCUGCAGCAGCAUUGCUUUGCUUCCUGGUACUCUCGUCAUGCUGACCACCGUCUGCCGUAGAAAAUACACCGCAGGUACCGCAUACUACUUCAAAAACACCCAAACAUGACCUUAAUACAUGAGAUCUAUUACGAAUGGCGACAUCGUAGCGCUUUGAUAACCCGCUUCCAACUACUGAGAGAGGGACGGUAUUUUUAGAACUCAGUGACAUGGGAUCUGGUAUCACCAGACAUCCAAAAGGUUAUUAGCUAAAUCACUUUAGUUGUGUUGAGCGCAAGCCUCCCAAAUUACAUCUAACCGUGAAUCACAAGAGACGGGAGGCGGCGAGGUGGGGAAACCCUCCGACACUCCGAAUUCCCCGCUUUGUGUCUCAGCCUCUAACGCAUCUCGCCCUGAAUGUCACAGGUUGUCACGCGAAAGGGCAUCAUUUUCCUCCUCUUCUUCCUCCUCCAGCCCCACCCCACAACAACAACAACAACAACAACCAAAAACAUGUCUGCACUGCAAAGUCUGCAGCCAGUUUUAUGUUUUAAGUUGAGCGAGGCGCACUAAACCUUCGGCGUCAUAAAAGACCGUUCAACAGGCGCUUCACUGGAACAGAGAGGAACCGUGUAGACAGUGGACGCAGAGGAUUGCGCAAUGUGAUCUGCGGAUGCAAUCCGUGGUUUCACGAGACGACCUUUUGCAAGUUCUCGCGGGCCGCCGCGUGCGCAGCGCGGCCGUGACAUUUUGAAUGUGCCGACAUCCGGACACCUCGGACCGCCGCGUUAUCUUGACACGGGUUAAUCGGGGGUGUCGACAAAUUAGUGGGAGAGAGAAAAGAGAGAGAGAGAGAGGGAGAGGAAGAGGGAGCGUUUUGGGUCACCGGGCUCCGCGGUGUUCGAUCCCCGCCGACUGUGGAUGCCCCACUGCGUCGGACGCGCGCGUCCCUCCGCACCCGGUUGUGAAGCUCAAGCGACGUGGAUGUCGAAUCAGCGGCAGCCCUCACGGGCGUCACGACCACUGAGUAAAACGUCACUCGGACGUACACCAUUAGCCGUGGCGCAUUCACCCCCCCCAUGCUGUCACAUGUUGACAAGCUGUCAGCGGCGGGUGCACGGUGUUACCUGUGGACGCGGUUACCUGUGGACCUGUUGGCUCCUCCCCCCUGGGGCCCCUCCCGG